AUCAGCAGUACAAGCGGUAAAACUUAAAAAUACAGUCAAUACAGUCCCAAAAUGUAUGCCCUCCAUCAUAUUUACCAAAGCCAUCAAGUGGGCUGGAGUAGAGUCUUUACCGGUCUCAUUCUGGCCACAGGCCUUAUGUUUGACACCCCUGCUGUAAGCCUUUUCCUGUGACUUUGCCCCUCUCUCUUUGCCAUACGCCUAGCUUCCCACUAGCCCUUUCUGCUUUCUUUAUCUACCUCCGUAUCCCAUUUUUCUUUGAUACUAUGGACAAGUAACUAUCAAAAUAAAACAGGAAGUGAGAGCUCUAAUUAAACGGGCAAACACGCAUUUGGAGGGAUGACACAGAGGAUGGGAAAGCAAACACUGAGGCAACAAAUUCACCUCUAAAACUAAGUUAUAACAAGAGCUGAAGACUCCAGAAAUGCUCACGAAAACAUAAAGAUUAAUAAACAAAACUAUGAACACGAAACACAGAAUCUGACCUCAAAAAUUCAGACAGACCCAGGAUCCUGACAAUUACACUGCAGCAAACUCACUGAUGCCUUUGCACGUACCCACAACCACAGAAGUAUUGUUUGUGAGUGCAUGAAUGUUGUAAUCCUUGUGGUGGUUUGGUGGUCAUGUAACAUAAUAUGUCCUGAAGUUUUUGUCUAGUUUCAAAUAUCUUAAUUAAGAAGCACACAAAAUACAGAUUCUAAACUUUAGGUUGAAAUUAAUGCUUCGGUCUUUAACCAGACAGUCAGUGAACGAUGCUGGAAAUAACCACGCAAAGACCAAAACCUAUCAAGUUUACAUAGCAAUUUGUUCUUUUCCUCCUUUUAACAGAGUAAUGGACAAAGUCCUCCAGUCUGACACUGAGGAUAUAUCGAAUCCUCUCUAGGUGGAGACUAUCAGUCAAUGUUGUAACAUCCUUUUUCUCCCACAAGAGAAGAGAAGGCCAGGAGGUGAUGCUAUGUACUCUACAAAUGAUGUGAGUUUUCUGAUCCACCGAGUAUCAUUUGAAGGGGAUCUGGCCUUAUUUGGAUUUUUAAAAUCUUUGAAAACUAAGAAAAUAAUUCAGACUCAGAAGUUUUUUGUUUGCUCUCUGUGGCAUAAUUAUGUCACAUUUUAUAAAUGUCUAUGGUCUGUAUAGACAGGUUAUAAAUCUCACAUACAGUACACAUACAAAAUGACAAAACUACUGCUGGUGUGACGUGUUUGUAGUAGAAAUCCUUCGUUUCUGUGCUUCUACAGGAACGUCAUUCCUCCAAAAGCAAACUAAAUGUAUUUAUUCCCACGGCAGAGGCAUUCAGACCUUUUCAAGUAAAGCAUGUGAGAAGAAGAAAACUCUUGGAGCCUGGAGCAGGACUCUCCCUCCUCCCGUCAUUAACGUUGUGGCUUACAGCAUGUGUGGUCACGCCGGCGGGAGUGUGAGCUGGACUCGGAUCAGAUUCCCCAAAUCCAAUUCAUGUAGUUCAUGAUUCCAAAACACAUGUUGCAGAAGGAAGUUCUUCCAAGGCUUUCUCUCUCUGUGUCUCUAACUAGCAAGCAGAGCGCUUGCUAUUUUUGUACCACAUUGUGAUUACAUGUUGACUGACCAUCUCCAUGGCUACCAGCAUCUCUGCAGAUAUAUUGAUGAGGCAUGAGAGUGAUGGUCUGUUUUUCUCUUUAGCCAAAUCACUCUAAGACCUGGCACCACAUCAGCUUUCAUCUCGUUACUUUCAUCUUCCCCUGCAGUCACAUCCUGACCCCCAGACCGACCCACACCCUCCCAAUAUGAGCCUCAAAUAACUAACAGCGGUCGUUGGCUUUCAUCUUCAGGCUCCUCAAGGAUGGAGUCAUGUUGCGUGACAUCGUUAUCAUCCUUAGUAUACCUUCAUGCGAUGCCAAAGCUGUUCUUUUUUUAAACAUUUUAAAAAAAAGAAUGAACCAUUUAGCUAAACAAUCUGAAAAAUGCAACAAUAGUUUUACGGUUUCAAAAGCCUUGCACAUAACCACAUACAAUCCAGUCUGAGAUGGGCAAUUAUUUCACGACCCUAAAGAGGAUCAAUCAGCAGUGGUGUGGUGACUCACAGGGACAUCGUCUUCCUCCCGUUCAAUAAAAUAUCUCCUUCAGAGAUCCAUCGGAGAGUAGAACUUCAAGUUAAAGGAGCCUAUGCCCAGAUAUAAUCAGACACCCAGUGUAAUAAUUAAAACAUUAAUGCUGUUUUAUGGAAGCUGAUGAAAAAAAAAAAAGUCUAGUUUUUUAUUGAAACAACAGCGCAAACUGUGACGUCUGUGACUGACAGCCUGGUCUCAGAAAAAGCUACAUGUGCAUGUUUACAGACAGGAAUCGUCACGUCAGACUUUGUAACUAAUGCCUUUCAUGUCACAAGCAUGUAUAAUGUCGAGAAUCUCCAGUGGGAAUGCAUCACCAUAGCAACCAAGAAAUCAGAGCUUUAAAUGAAGCGGAAACCCUUCUCUUUUAACCCCAACCAUGAUCUGUUUGUCGACUAACCAAGCUGAUUUUAGUGAUAGUGAAUUAAAUUAAAUGUAAAAAAUCUGUGACGUGAAUUACCUAAACUUGGGGAUCCACCGCCAACCCCUCCAUCCUCCAGAUGUGGAUUACUUUUCCAGCUUUUAAAAGUGGAAAAUACUAAGUUUGCGUACAUCGACAUGUACGGUAUAUACGAGACCGGGCAGUCAGUUGAUGAGAUGUUGUGUUGUGUUUCACCACCUGCUGUGAGGCUGUGUUGUAAAGCCUCAGUUGAGCGUUUUGCCACCAUAAUCUUGUUGUUUUGUAACCGAAUGUGACAAAUAAGUGUUGGAUGUGACGAAUGGUGCAUUUAUAACAAACAUGAAGCAAGAUCUGGAGUGCAACCUUUAGGUUUUUCAGAACUUACCAUAAAGUCAUAUGAUUUUACUGGCCUUUUCUCUUGUUUCUAUCGAAAAGUGAAGUUACAGCACAUAGAUCGAGCUAACCUCAAACAGCCUGUCCCUCAUUACUAAAUAUCGGUGGCAUAGACAGAGUCCGAGCUGAUGACACAGUUUGGAUUUGCAGCUGAAGUUGAGACAUUUUAAUUCAUGGACUGCAUAGACUUUCAUGUAAUCACACCAAUCAUGAAAAUGGGAAUAACGCUGUUUUGAGUUUUACGCCUUGUCCCCGAAGUUAUGGAAUUUGGGACCAAAAUGUGUAAAGUCAACAUCAUCCUGUAUUAAAAAAGACCUGAAACUUGCAGCUAGGGCCAUUAACCCAUCAGGAAAAGUGUGAGCAAGAGGGUAAUUAUCUCAUAGACUUCUCUGAAUCUGAGUCACCCUGCGCUCAUCUUUAGACAAUUUAAGGCCAUUUAAACUUUUUACAUGUGUAGAAUAGGACCUUUUUUAAAAUGUAUUUGUAUUUUUUUAAAUAAGCUUGUAACUGAAAUAGACCAUUUUAUGACCUUGGCUCAUUAGGGGGAAGAUGAGCAGUGUUAAUUAACUGGGUCCACGUGGUUUGGUUAUAGUUUGGUUCAUUUAAAAAUGCACACAUGAAAAACACUGUAAAAGAAAUGAGUGCAGGGAGGUGGGGUGGGGUGCCCUGCACUCAACAUAACGAAGCAAAUAAAGAAAAAGCAACUUUUAAGAGAAGCAUGACAGCUACACAUGACUCCUCUAGAUAAAAAAAAAGGAAAAGAAUAAAUAAUGGAUUGCAUUUUAAGGCAUAUGACUGGACCUGUGCUCCAAUCAGGGGCUAGCAUACCAAUUAGCAUAUAAAGCAGUUAAAAUACACUAUAGAACGAGGUGCAGUGACCCAAGACUACAAUACAUCUGCUGGUGCUGGUCAGCCACUGAGUUCAGUAAAAUAAUCAGAAUGAUUUUAGGUGGAUUAUCUCAACAAUUUCCCCAACCCCACUGCAAGGGUUAUUUUUCCUCACAGUGCUGAUAUAAAAAGGUAAAUCGGGAACAAGUGAAAAGUAAUGAAAAGAUGGAACAACAGGGCAAGGAAAAGGAAUGGAUCCAGACUAAUAUUUAUGUAAAAUCCACUGCUAAAUAUGUAGAAGGACCCAUCAUCCACUGUCUUACUCAAGUAAAGUAAUUAAAUAUUCGUUAUAUAAGCAGCUAUUGCCUCGAUGUGAGAGCCAACCUCGCCAGUUUCUGUAAAUUUCACGAGCACCGUUAAGGAAGUCCUCUGAGCAUGUUGCGGUGCAGAAGUCCUUAACCUGUCUGCGAGCAAACGAAAACUGAUAUUUCAAUCGGUCAGACCUCAGAAAUAGCUGUCAGAGCAAAGCGCCCUGGAAUUUCAACAACAUAAUUCAAUUUGCCCCUCUUAAUACAUUCAGCACUGUCAGAUCUGUGUCCUGUGUUUAUCUAGCUGGAAUAACACUUACAGGCUGCGCCGUGUGGCCCAUGGGGCCCAUAAUAAAGCGCCACUGUGUGCCUAAGGGGGAUGGCGUUAUGUCCACUGCCCUUUUUUUGUGCUCCCUUCGAACUCCUGAGCCAAGGUCUUAUGUUUUGGCUGGCACCCAUCAGCAUAGUCAGCUGGUCAUCACAUCUUUUAAAAAUCCCCUUUCUCUUUUUUUUUCUUUUUCUUCUUCUUCUUUUUCUAUUCAUUGAGGUGUAGCGCUGUCUGUGAAACAAAAACACCUUGAGCAGACAUCUGCUCCGUCCCACAUGAAGCCAAACACGGAAAAUGUUCCCUGCCUCGGCUUUUACAGGAAUUUAAAUAAAAAUGAUUGGCUUAUUUUAUUAACACAAGGAACAACGUGUUAAAUGACAUGGAGGAGUGCACUUUUAGACAUUUCAGAAGGUCUCCUAACUUUAUUUAAUUCAUAAUAAAAAUAAUCUGUCGAGUAUCUGGUGUAAAAAAUCUGUCCCAAAUCAAAUAUGUGGAAAGAAGGAAACAAUGGGACAAUAAUUAAUGAAGCAAAUAUCAGCCAUCUUUAGUGAGUUUUUUCAUCAUUUGGACAAACUCCUGCUUGUUCAUCUCAAACUGCAGUUUGCAACAGUACUGCUGGAUCUAGCCACAGCCUCAGAGCCAGGUUAGAUUCAUCAUGGAGCCUAUGAUGAUAAACUACAGAAGUAGCUGACAUUAUUUCCAGGAUUCAUGUGCGUGUGUGGUGUUUUGUGUGUUAAUUAACUUGUGUGUCAUGAUCCGUGGGAGCAGCUGAGGGGUUUUCAUUUGUUAUCAGGAUGGGUCCCUGGCUACUUGCCCGGGCGGAGUCUCUGCAUCACACCUGAGCUCCAUCUGCUGUCAAUUACAGGAGGACUACUUAAGCCAGCACUGCCUGCUACUUGUCUCCAGUUCAUUCUGCCACCCACAGUGGUAGCUAGGCCACAUCUGCACUCCACUCUUACCGCUCCCUUUCUUCGUGCUAAACUCUGUUUCCUUGUGUACAGAUCUCCACACUAUCCCAUCUUGGACGCAUCGCCUGUGGUAACUCUCGUUCCAGUGCUGGCUCCUUUGUUAUACCUCUGUGAUCUGCUCCUGCUAGGAAAACCAUCAUCCUGUCGCUUCGCCUGCUUGUCCUCCUGCCUCCUCCGACGCUCUUGGUAAGCCAUUCCUCCCCUCUCGCACUGCAGGUUUCCUCUCUCUGGAUUCUCCCACAGAAACCCUCUCCAAAGCUUUUCAGUCUGGACCUGCACCACACCUGCGGUUCCAAUUGUGACCUCAACGGACAGCCUUCCCCAUGGCCAUCCCCCUUUCCACUGACUCCUGUUCACUCUUGUUUGCCUUUGUUUUGAUCUCCUUCAUUCUGUAAAUAAAGUCUUGUCAAUAGUUCUCAGUAA